rnacentral:lncRNA from 1 species
CCAGUUUAUAGCCUUACGCGCUAAAUUCCCUAUCUGACUUAAGUAUCGAAGAGGCGACGAGCACACACCUCGUUGCCUUUAUUUCAGGUAUUCGAAGACCGUUCGUGUUUACUUAAGUUUGCCCAAGUUUGAAGUUCGAUCAUCAAGUUCGAGAUCUUUCAAGUAUUAUUUUUUGGUCGCAUCAACAAGUAUCACCUAUUUAUUCACUUAUCUCGUACAGUGUUUCAACUCACUUUUGUUACGCACACAUCGAAAAAUAAAUAACCAUCAGAUCGAAAAAUAAAAAGUGUAGAAAACAAGGAAUAAACACACAAGACUUUUUUGAUCGAAGUCUAAGAGAUUCAGUAGCCACUUUCAACACUUAAUCCGCUGUUGAACAUUCACAAAGUGAAUAACAUUAGUAGCACUAGAAUCACGCAAGAAAGCAACCAAGGUACAAUCAAUGUUUUUUAUAAUAGAGAUUAAGCCACUUAGGCUUAUACUUUCAAGAGUCAAACCAAUCCAAAGGUUCUGUUCACCAAGAACUCAAAACAACAUAAUAUAUGCGCUUUCUGUAUCAUGAAGAUCAGAAAAUGCCAAGGGGUUCUCUGAUUUUUAUACGUCAAGUAAAAACAGAAAAUAGAAAGAAAUGAAGUAGAAGACGUAAAAUUAGAGUUUCUUUAGUAAGGAGUUCAAGAGAGAGGUGUAGGAAAUUGAAAGGAACCAAAAAUUCAUCAAAUCAUUGGUCUUGUAGGAAAUUGAAAGGAACGAAAAAUUCAUCAAAUCCUUUCACAUAUUUUCAUAAAUUUCCAUGUUGAAAUCAAAGAGAAGAAUAAAAAAUGUGGAAGCGUACCUUGGUCCAUAGUUGUUA